AGUGAACGCUGGCGGUAGGCCUAACACAUGCAAGUCGAACGGCAGCACAGUAAGAGCUUGCUCUUACGGGUGGCGAGUGGCGGACGGGUGAGGAAUACAUCGGAAUCUACUUUUUCGUGGGGGAUAACGUAGGGAAACUUACGCUAAUACCGCAUACGACCUACGGGUGAAAGCAGGGGAUCUUCGGACCUUGCGCGAUUGAAUGAGCCGAUGUCGGAUUAGCUAGUUGGCGGGGUAAAGGCCCACCAAGGCGACGAUCCGUAGCUGGUCUGAGAGGAUGAUCAGCCACACUGGAACUGAGACAAGGUCCAGACUCCUACGGGAGGCAGCAGUGGGGAAUAUUGGACAAUGGGCGCAAGCCUGAUCCAGCCAUACCGCGUGGGUGAAGAAGGCCUUCGGGUUGUAAAGCCCUUUUGUUGGGAAAGAAAAGCAGCAGGUUAAUACCCCGCUGUUCUGACGGUACCAAAAGAAUAAGCACCGGCUAACUUCGUG
rnacentral:rRNA from 1 species